CAAUAGCGUAUAUUAAAGUUGCUGCAGUUAAAAAGCUCGUAGUUGAAUUUUUGCUUGCCGCCGAUGUCGGAACUUCCGUACGUUCGGCGGCGUGCAUCCUUGGGUGGAACCUGUGUGGCAUUAGGUUGUCGUGCAGGGGAUGCUCAUCGUUUACUGUGAAAAAAUUAGAGUGUUCAAAGCAGGCUUACGCCGUUGAAUAUAUUAGCAUGGAAUAAUAAGAUAGGACCUUGGUACUAUUUUGUUGGUUUGCGCACCGAGGUAAUGAUUAACAGGGACAGUUGGGGGUAUUCGUAUUCCAUUGUCAGAGGUGAAAUUCUUGGAUUUCUGGAAGACGAACUACUGCGAAAGCAUUUACCAAGGAUGUUUUCAUUAA
rnacentral:rRNA from 1 species